UACGUAGGGGGCUAGCGUUGUCCGGAAUCAUUGGGCGUAAAGCGCGUGUAGGCGGUCCGGUAAGUCCGCUGUGAAAGUCGGGGGCUCAACCCUCGGAUGCCGGUGGAGUACUGUCGGGCUAGAGUGCGGAAGAGGCGAGUGGAAUUCCUGGUGUAGCGGUGAAAUGCGCAGAUAUCAGGAGGAACACCGAUUGCGAAGGCAGCUCGCUGGGACGUUACUGACGCUGAGACGCGAAAGCGUGGGGAGCAAACAGG
rnacentral:rRNA from 1 species